rnacentral:misc_RNA from 1 species
UGAUUUGUUAUUAUAUUUACAGCUAGCUGUUUAAAAUCAUUGCUUUUAUUUUUAUUUAAAAUAACUAUUUAUAAAUUUUAUAUAUGAAGUUCAAAAAACAUGGAACUUGAUACCUCUCAAAUAACUUUAAACAUGAAACUUGACAAUGGAAUAUCUAUUUUUGCUGAAAUAAUAAUAGAAAGAAAUAAAAAUUUAAUAAUAGAAAGAAACAAGAUAUUUGAAAGAACAUUUGAUGAAUUUAAUUGUUACAACUUACAAUAGAGGUUGUGCCUUUGAACGUGAUGCAUUAGAUGCAGUACUAAUUAGUUUAUGGGAACCAUAAGUGCUAAUAUUUUUCUCAUAGCUGCGCAAUUGAUAUGAUCGACUUUUUUUUUUAAUUUAUG